rnacentral:ncRNA from 1 species
CCUGUGGAGAGUUACAGCAAACGUGAGUAGCGAAGGCGAAAACGGACUCGCUGAAGCAGGAA